rnacentral:rRNA from 1 species
CCUACGGGAGGCAGCAGUGAGGAAUAUUGGACAAUGGAGGANACUCUGAUCCAGCCAUGCCGCGUGUAGGAAGAAUGCCCUAUGGGUUGUAAACUACUUUUAUACAGGAAGAAACACUGGUAUGUAUACCAGCUUGACGGUACUGUAAGAAUAAGGACCGGCUAACUCCGUGCCAGCAGCCGCGGUAAUACGGAGGGUCCGAGCGUUAUCCGGAAUCAUUGGGUUUAAAGGGUCCGCAGGCGGUCGAUUAAGUCAGAGGUGAAAUCCCAUAGCUCAACUAUGGAACUGCCUUUGAUACUGGUUGACUUGAGUCAUAUGGAAGUAGAUAGAAUGUGUAGUGUAGCGGUGAAAUGCAUAGAUAUUACACAGAAUACCGAUUGCGAAGGCAGUCUACUACGUAUGUACUGACGCUGAGGGACGAAAGCGUGGGGAGCGAACAGGAUUAGAUACCCUGGUAGUCCACGCCGUAAACGAUGGAUACUAGUUGUUGGGAUUUAUCUCAGUGACUAAGCGAAAGUGAUAAGUAUCCCACCUGGGGAGUACGGUCGCAAGACUGAAACUCAAAGGAAUUGACGGGG